AACAAAGAGCGCAAAAGUGUCCUGACUUUACAUUUUAAGGAAUAGCAGGAAAAAAAGGACUGAACCAAAACUGUUCAAAGGAGCAUAAAAUGAAGAAUCCACUCUCCUAUCCAGAAUCAAUAGAAGUUUUUCAGUGUCUCAUGCUCUGCUGGUGAGAAGAUGGACAAAAUCCAGGAGGAAGUGUGGCUGGGACAGAAGACCUGAGCUUCCCAAAAGUUUAUUCCACACCAUAGAAAGUCUUGUUCAGUACAUAAUGCAGGGGAGUUGACCUGAGGAGCCAAUUAGGGUUUGGGGAUAGGAUUUGGUAUAUGUCAGUGGGUGGUGAGCAAUUGUAUCGUGCAUCACUUGGUCUGAUUUUUUCACUUUAUUUUCAUUAUUAUUAUUUACUGAUAUAAUUUUAUUUUACUUUAUUUCAAUUAUUAAACUGUUUUUGUCUGAACCUAAAAGUUCUGCUUUUGAUUCUCUGCCCUGCUCCACCAGGAGAGGAUGGGAGUGGAGGGUUGGAGUAUGAGUAUGUGUGUCCAUGUUCGCUGCUGGCUGGGCUUAACCCAUGG